rnacentral:rRNA from 1 species
GAUGAACGCUGGCGGUGUGCCUAAUACAUGCAAGUCGAGCGAACAGACGAGGAUCUUACUCCUCUGACGUUAGCGGCGGACGGGGGAUUCACACGUGUAUAACCUACCUAUAAGACUGGGAUAACUUCGGGAAACCGGAGCUAAUACCGGAUAACAUGGUGAAACGCAGGGUUCAACAGUGAAAGAGGGUCUUGCUGUCACUUAUAGAUGGAUCCGCGUCGCAUUAGCUAGUUGGUAAGGUAACGGCUUACCAAGGCAACGAUGCGUAGCCGACCUGAGAGGGUGAUCGGCCACACUGGAACUGAGACACGGUCCAGACUCCUACGGGAGGCAGCAGUAGGGAAUCUUGCGCAAUGGGCGAAAGCCUGACGGAGCAACGCCGCGUGAGUGAAGAAGGUCUUCGGAUCGUAAAACUCUGUUAUUAGGGAAGAACACAUGUGUAAGUAACUAUGCACGUCUUGACGGUACCGGAUCAGAAAGCCACGGCUAACUACGUG